rnacentral:rRNA from 1 species
ACGAACGCUGGCGGCGUGCUUAACACAUGCAAGUCGAACGGAAAGGCCCUGCUUUUGUGGGGUGCUCGAGUGGCGAACGGGUGAGUAACACGUGAGUAACCUGCCCUUGACUUUGGGAUAACUUCAGGAAACUGGGGCUAAUACCGGAUAGGAGCUCCUGCUGCAUGGUGGGGGUUGGAAAGUUUCGGCGGUUGGGGAUGGACUCGCGGCUUAUCAGCUUGUUGGUGGGGUAGUGGCUUACCAAGGCUUUGACGGGUAGCCGGCCUGAGAGGGUGACCGGCCACAUUGGGACUGAGAUACGGCCCAGACUCCUACGGGAGGCAGCAGUGGGGAAUAUUACACAAUGGGCGGAAGCCUGAUGCAGCAACGCCGCGUGCGGGAUGACGGCCUUCGGGUUGUAAACCGCUUUCGCCUGUGACGAAGCGUGAGUGACGGUAAUGGGUAAAGAAGCACCGGCUAACUACGUG